UCGAAGCCCAACCAAGUGAUGUCCUUCCAUCUUUCAUUCCAUAAUCACGUUCGAACGGUAAGCUACAACUAAGAAAG
rnacentral:tRNA from 1 species